UUGCGGCGAUAUCACGUCCAAACACCGGUUUCCGUACGAUCACCGAAGUUAAACAUGCUCAAUACCUAAAUAGGUGACCGCUUGGGAAUAUCAGGUGCUGUAAG